CCCUUAGAUGUUCUGGGCCGCACGCGCGCUACACUGACGAAGUCAGCGAGCAUCUCCUACGCCGAAAGGUGCGGGGAAUCUUGUGAAACUUUGUCGUGCUGGGGAUUGAUUUUUGAAAUUCUUGAUCAUCAACGAGGAAUUCCUAGUAAGCGCAAGUCAGCAGCUUGCGUUGAUUACGUCCCUGCCCUUUGUACACACCGCCCGUCGCUACUACCGAUUGAAUGGUUUAGUGAGAUUUUUGGACUGGAACUCUCUUGUUCAGCAAUGAACGAGAGGGACUCUGGGAAGUUAUUCUAACUGUAUCAUUUAGAGGAAGUAAAAGUCGUAACA
rnacentral:rRNA from 1 species